rnacentral:rRNA from 1 species
UACAGAGGGGGCAAGCGUUGUUCGGAAUUACUGGGCGUAAAGGGCGCGUAGGCGGCCCUCUAAGUCAGACGUGAAAUCCCCGGGCUCAACCCGGGAACUGCGUCCGAUACUGGCAGGCUUGAAUCCGGGAGAGGGAUGUGGAAUUCCAGGUGUAGCGGUGAAAUGCGUAGAUAUCUGGAGGAACACCGGUGGCGAAGGCGGCAUCCUGGACCGGCAUUGGCGCUGAGGCGCGAAAGCCAGGGGAGCAAACGGG